rnacentral:lncRNA from 1 species
CGGCGAAUUACAAUUGAAAUAAUUGAAACGGGAACUUGCGUGGCGCAUACACGUGCGAUGGCUGCCCGAAAAGUUGAUUAACCUUGCACGUAGUCGGCCCCGGUCACUAAUGCGUACUCCGCACGAAUGAAGUCGCGGUCCUACAAACAGUAGGACAUGGUAACUGUGAAAUGAGGUAGUUAACCUACAUGAAAGCAUGACACAAUAUAGCUAAUCAAAAAGACUUCGCCAACAGGCCUGAAACUGGGAGCCGACCGUAAAGCUCUGAAACCUAAGCAUAUACCAUGUUGCAAGGACAACAAUCACCUCCAAACGCAAAUCCAGGGCAACGCGUGCAAAUGCAGCCCAUUAUCUACAGCGCCGCUGCCCUGUUGCUGCUGUGGUCGGCCCUGCAAGGGCUCCUCCAAUAUUCAAACAGAAAUUUCCUUUGCCCUGCGCCCUAUAGGAAUGUCCGCCGUGGCAGGUGCGCAGCGUCACCUGGCCGACAGCCAAUCACCUCGCCCGUCCAUCGUCCACAGCCAAACCCUUUAAUGGCGUUGGAUUAGUAGUCCGCGACAAUCUCUCGGGCUUCCCUAUGAAUCCUUAUGAUCAAGUACCUGCACGCAGAAGCGUACAGUUACGGGACUUCAGCGCUGAGGACAACGUAUACCACGAUGCGUGAUUCAGCAUGGCAUUACUCUUCCGUUAACGAUAGGGACAUGCACGUAACUCCGUACCCGCCUCUGCCAAGUUCAAUCGCCUCGUGAUAUGGGCCAAUCAGGAUGUAUAAGCACGGCCGGACCUUUCCUUUCCCCACAAGGGAGGCGGUAAUUAACAUGAACACACUCUUUUCGUACAUGCUUCCGAGAAUGGCCAUGGUGCCGCUGAGGAGCGCCUUUCCGCACCAGGGUCAUGCCGAACACUCGAAGAAUGCGAUACCUUCCAGCUGCCAGGCUGGUGCCAUUACACAGCGAAUUUGUAAUCAGCAGGCGGCGUGCACCAUGCUCCGCCGCGACACAUCCCGGUUUGCCUGUCCGUACCUCCUGGAAACAAACAUGGUCAAUUGGUUUCAGGAUCACGCGUUGGAUUGCGAAAGCUCUUCAUAUCCCGUACGGGCAUACCGAAAAGUAUACUGAGGGAUCCCAGUCUUUUGGGGGGGCCUACUCCCUGGAAUUUGGGGCCCCGACGCACCCCUGUCGACACCAGCACAGCAAACCUCUUACCCCGCCGAGUCAAGCUGCAGGGGCCAUGGCCUUCAGGACUGCUUCCGCUGACUCAUCUGCGCCUGUCUGGCCAACAUAUACGAAAGCGGACCGCUGGGGCCACACCACACAGGUGUAAAACCCCAAACCUAUAAGCUACGCGUGAGUUUUGCUAGGCUAUGGCUGAAAUGCUUGGCGUGUUGAUCUGUUUCAUGAACCUGCGCGGCCGCUUAUCUUUAAUCGCAAUAUGAAUAGUGAUGAUGACGCCUGCCACGAAGCAGCGAAGAAAGUUGUAAUUGUGCAUAUGAUGGUUGCAUUUUGCCGUCGAUUGCCGUACCUUCUUUCGUUGACGGUUGCAGUGAUGGUCACAGUGGACUCAGAAGUACUGUACAUAGUCAACGAUGACCCAAUGGAAGAUGAGUUGUAACAAAUUGCUUUUAGUCUUCAAUACGCGUAGCUUUUGGCCAGCUGCCCAUUGCUGCUCACAGUCCUCGGUAGGACCGAAGUCGCACCCACGUGAUGCUUGCCAUAUCGAAAUGGAAGGAAUUAUCUAAUUUAUAAUAAUUUGGGGCGCCUUGAACCUAGGGAGCCCCAGAGGGGGCAGCACGAAUGAUUUCUCAAUUCUAUAUCCUCUCAUCUAGGGGAGAUGUGAUAAUCCGCAAAGACUAUCUCGGUGAUGUGCCGCGUACCUCGUCCGAGACGUUCUUUCGAAAUGCGAAGUUCUGGAAAGAAGGCGAUGGAGAAGCACCUCCAG